CCCUUAGAUGUUCUGAACCGCACGCGUGUUACAAUGAUGUGUUCAACGAGCAUAUAACCUUGGCCGAGAGGCCUGGGCAAUCUUUUUAAUGCACAUCGUGUUAGGGAUAGAUUAUUGCAAUUAUUAAUCUUGAACGAGGAAUUCCUAGUAAACGCAGAUCAUCAAUCUGCAUUGAUUACGUCCCUGCCCUUUGUACACACCGCCCGUCGCUCCUACCGAUUGGGUGUGCUGGUGAAAUGUUCGGAUCGGCCGUUUGUCGCGGUUUCCGCGUCAUGUGGCUGAGAAGUUCAUUAAACCCUCCCACCUAGAGGAAGGAGAAGUCGUAACA
rnacentral:rRNA from 1 species